rnacentral:rRNA from 1 species
GAUGAACGCUGGCGGCGUGCUUAACACAUGCAAGUCGAACGGACAGGCCCUGCUUGCACUGUCCUCGAGUUGCGAACGGGUGAGUAACACGUAGGUGAUUUGCCCUGUACUUUGGGAUAAGCCUGGUCAACUGGGUCUAAUACCUACUAUGACAAUUGUUUGGAUGCGUUUGUGGAAAGCUUUUGCGGUAUAGGAUGAGCUCUCUGCCUAUCAGCUUGUUGGUGGGGUAAUGGCGUACCAAGGCGUCGAGGGAUAGCCGGCCUGAGAGGGUGUACGGCCAGUUUGGAAACGAGAUACGGGCCAGACUACUGAGUGAGGCAGCAGGGGGGAAUACUGGACAAUGGACGGAAGCCUGAGGCAGCAACGCCGCGUGGGGGAUGAAGGCCGUCGGGUUGUAAGCUCCUAUGGGAAAGGAAGAAGGCUUUUGGUGACGGUAGGUUGAGAAGAAGCAACGGCUAACUACGUG